UACGGGGGGGGCAAGCGUUGUUCGGAAUUACUGGGCGUAAAGGGCUCGUAGGUGGCCAACUAAGUCGGACGUGAAAUCCCUCGGCUUAACCGGGGAACUGCGUCCGAUACUGGUUGGCUUGAGUUUGGGAGAGGGAUGCGGAAUUCCAGGUGUAGCGGUGAAAUGCGUAGAUAUCUGGAGGAACACCGGUGGCGAAGGCGGCAUCCUGGACCAUUACUGACACUGAAAAGCGAAAGCCAGGGGAGCAAACGGG
rnacentral:rRNA from 1 species